rnacentral:rRNA from 1 species
AUUGAACGCUAGCGGCAGGCCUAACACAUGCAAGUCGGACGGUAGCACAGAGAGCUUGCUCUCUGGGUGGCGAGUGGCGGACGGGUGAGGAAUACAUCGGAAUCUACCUUUUCGUGGAGGAUAACGUAGGGAAACUUACGCUAAUACCGCAUACGACCUUCGGGUGAAAGCAGGGGACCUUCGGUCCUUGCGCGGAUAGAUGAGCCGAUGUCGGAUUAGCUAGUUGGCGGGGUAAAGGCCCACCAAGGCGACGAUCCGUAGCUGGUCUGAGAGGAUGAUCAGCCACACUGGAACUGAGACACGGUCCAGACUCCUACGGGAGGCAGCAGUGGGGAAUAUUGGACAAUGGGCGCAAGCCUGAUCCAGCCAUACCGCGUGGGUGAAGAAGGCCUUCGGGUUGUAAAGCCCUUUUGUUGGGAAAGAAAAGCAGCCAGUUAAUACCUGGUUGUUCUGACGGUACCCAAAGAAUAAGCACCGGCUAACUUCGUGCCAGCAGCCGCAGUAA